UACGUAUGGUGCGAACGUUGUUCGGAAUCACUGGGCAUAAAGAGCACGUAGGCGGUUGAGCAAGUCCGGUGUGAAAUCCCCCAGCCUAACUGGGGAACUGCAUUGGAUACUACUUGACUUGAGUGCAGGAGGGGAGAGUGGAAUUCCAGGUGGAGCGGUGAAAUGCGUAGAUAUCUGGAGGAACGCCGGUGGCGAAAGCGACUCUCUGGUCUGCAACUGACGCUGAGGUGCGAAAGCUAGGGGAGCAAACGGG
rnacentral:rRNA from 1 species